GUGGUUAAAGUAUUGUUUUAAACAUCAUUAACUAUUUAAGUACACUUAUACACUGAGAGCAGCAAUCACAGACAAGACAACCCCUUACAAAUGGGUUUGUAUAUGAAUCAUAGUUUAAGCAGUUAUUAGACAAUCAUCUGUUUUAUAGUAACUUUUAAAACAUUUACAUAUAUAAAAGAAGAUGUGGUAUGAUUCCCAAUGGGACAACUCUUCAGAAGAGACCAAACCACACAGAAAUUAACAACUAUAUGUCACUGUACCCUAACAUGCAUUUAAUUUUCUUCAAUGAGAUGUGUUUUUGAUGAACAAUCGGAACAUAAAUUUUACUGUAGUGUAAGUAUGUUAAUAGGUGGUGAUCAAUAUAGAAGAAAUAAAUCAUUCCUUUCUGUUUACGGUGAAAGGCUGUUAUAUCUAUAUAGAAAUGUUGAAUGGCUUCAUUGAACCCUUCUGAAGACUCAGUCACAAAUCCAGCUUCAUGAUAUAAAAUGGUUAGUGAAACCAUG
rnacentral:lncRNA from 1 species